AGCGACAGAAAGGAGCUUGCUCCUUUGACGUUAGCGGCGGACGGGUGAGUAACACGUGGGCAACCUACCCUAUAGUUUGGGAUAACUCCGGGAAACCGGGGCUAAUACCGAAUAAUCUCUUUUGCUUCAUGGUNAAAGACUGAAAGACGGUUUCGGCUGUCGCUAUAGGAUGGGCCCGCGGCGCAUUAGCUAGUUGGUGAGGUAACGGCUCACCAAGGCGACGAUGCGUAGCCGACCUGAGAGGGUGAUCGGCCACACUGGGACUGAGACACGGCCCAGACUCCUACGGGAGGCAGCAGUAGGGAAUCUUCCACAAUGGGCGAAAGCCUGAUGGAGCAACGCCGCGUGAGUGAAGAAGGUUUUCGGAUCGUAAAACUCUGUUGUAAGGGAAGAACAAGUACAGUAGUAACUGGCUGUACCUUGACGGUACCUUAUUAGAAAGCCACGGCUAACUACGUGCCAGCAGCCGCGGUAAUACGUAGGUGGCAAGCGUUGUCCGGAAUUAUUGGGCGUAAAGCGCGCGCAGGCGGUCCUUUAAGUCUGAUGUGAAAGCCCACGGCUCAACCGUGGAGGGUCAUUGGAAACUGGGGGACUUGAGUGCAGAAGAGGAAAGUGGAAUUCCAAGUGUAGCGGUGAAAUGCGUAGAGAUUUGGAGGAACACCAGUGGCGAAGGCGACUUUCUGGUCUGUA
rnacentral:rRNA from 1 species